rnacentral:rRNA from 1 species
AGUCGAACGGUGGUAGCAAUACCAUAGUGGCGCACGGGUGCGUAACACGUAACUAACCUACCUAUAACUGGGGGAUAGCCCGCCGAAAGGCGGAUUAAUACCGCAUAAGCUCUUGACCCGGCAUCGGGUUAUUAGUAAAGAUUUAUUGGUUAUAGAUGGGGUUGCGGGUCAUUAGCUAGUUGGUUGGGUAACGGCUGACCAAGGCGACGAUGACUAGGGGAGCUGAGAGGCUGGUCCCCCACACGGGCACUGAGAUACGGGCCCGACUCCUACGGGAGGCAGCAGUAGGGAAUAUUGGGCAAUGGGCGAGAGCCUGACCCAGCCAUGCCGCGUGCAGGAAGAAGGCUUUCUGAGUCGUAAACUGCUUUUGACAGGGAAGAAUAAGCCGGACGUGUCCAGUGAUGACGGUACCUGCAGAAUAAGCACCGGCUAACUCCGCGCCAGCAGCCGCGGUAAUACGGAGGGUGCGAGCGUUGUCCGGAUUUAUUGGGUUUAAAGGGUGCGUAGGCGGCCCGUUAAGUCCGGGGUGAAAGCCCGUUGCUCAACAACGGAACUGCCCUGGAUACUGACGGGCUUGAGUACAGACGAGGUUGGCGGAAUGGACCGAGUAGCGGUGAAAUGCAUAGAUACGGUCCAGAACCCCGAUUGCGAAGGCAGCUGACUAGGCUGUUACUGACGCUGAGGCACGACAGCGUGGGGAGCGAACAGGAUUAGAUACCCUGGUAGUCCACGCCGUAAACGAUGGAUACUCGCUGCGAGCUAAAGAUUGUUCGUGGCUUAGGGAAACCGAUAAGUAUCCCACCUGGGGAGUACGCCGGCAACGGUGAAACUCAAAGGAAUUGAC